AACAAACGCUGGCGGCGUGUCUUAAGCAUGCAAGUUGAGCGGCAAGGAGGAGAGAUCCUCCCUAGAGCGGCGGACUGGUGAGUAACGCGUGGGUAAUCUAUCGUAGGCAUGGGGAUAGUCACUAGAAAUAGUGGGUAAUACCGAAUACGUUCCAUGAGGGGAGUACUUAUGGAAGAAAGGGUGCUACGGCACUGGCCUUAGGUGAGCUCGCGUCCCAUUAGCUAGUUGGUGAGGUAAAGGCCCACCAAGGCGAUGAUGGGUAGCCGGCCUGAGAGGGUGUACGGCCACACUGGGACUGAGAUACGGCCCAGACUCCUACGGGAGGCAGCAGCUAAGAUAUUCCGCAAUGGACGAAAGUCUGACGGAGCGACGCCGCGUGGAUGAAGAAGGCCGAAAGGUUGUAAAGUUCUUUUGCUAGGGGAAAGUAAGUGAGGGAGGAAUGCCCUAUGAUGACAAGGACUAGCGAAUAACGCCCCGGCAACUACGUGCCAGCAGCCGACGG
rnacentral:rRNA from 1 species